GGCAACAGCUCAAAUUUGAAAUCUGGCGCAAGCCCGAGUUGUAAUUUGUAGAGGAUGCUUCGGGGCAGCGGCCGGUCUAAGUUCCUUGGAACAGGACGUCAUAGAGGGUGAGAAUCCCGUAUGCGACCGGCUGGCACCCCACACGUAGCUCCUUCGACGAGUCGAGUUGUUUGGGAAUGCAGCUCUAAAUGGGAGGUAAAUUUCUUCUAAAGCUAAAUACCGGCCAGAGACCGAUAGCGCACAAGUAGAGUGAUCGAAAGAUGAAAAGCACUUUGGAAAGAGAGUUAAAAAGCACGUGAAAUUGUUGAAAGGGAAGCGCAAGCAACCAGACUUGUCGGCGGUGUUCACCCGGUCUUCUGACCGGGCUACUCGCCGCCGGCAGGCCAACAUCACCUGGGGCCGCCGGAUAAAGGUGUCGGGAAUGUAGCUCCCCUCGGGGAGUGUUAUAGCCCGGCGCACAAUACGGUGCGCCCCGAGUGAGGUCCGCGCUUCGGCUAGGAUGUUGGCGUAAUGGUCGUUUGCGGCCCGUCUUGAAACACGGAC
rnacentral:rRNA from 1 species